rnacentral:tRNA from 1 species
GGUCCGGUGGCUCAAUUGGUAGGGCGUCUGACUUCGAUUGAUUUCAUCAAGAGAAAUCCUCUGGAUUUUCGGAAUUUUAUCAGAAGAUUGCGGGUUCGAGUCCCGUCUGGAUCG